ACACCGAUGGUGAAGCGGUUAUCAUGGUUGCCUUCCAUUCGUAGCGGUCCCGGAGUUUGGAGCAAGCGGCAGGGGUUCGACUCCCUUUCGGUGUA